UACAGAGGGUGCAAGCGUUAAUCGGAAUUACUGGGCGUAAAGCGCGCGUAGGCGGUUGUGUAAGUUGGAGGUGAAAUCCCCGGGCUUAACCUGGGCACUGCCUUCAAAACUGCACGGCUAGAGUAUGGGAGAGGAAGGUAGAAUUCCAGGUGUAGCGGUGAAAUGCGUAGAGAUCUGGAGGAAUACCGAUGGCGAAGGCAGCCUUCUGGCCUAAUACUGACGCUGAGGUGCGAAAGCAUGGGGAGCAAACAGGAUUAGAUACCCGUGUAGU
rnacentral:rRNA from 1 species